UACGUAGGGGGCUAGCGUUGUCCGGAAUCAUUGGGCGUAAAGAGCGUGUAGGCGGCCCGGUAAGUCCGCUGUGAAAGUCGGGGGCUCAACCCUCGAAUGCCGGUGGAUACUGUCGGGCUAGAAUGCGGAAGAGGCGAGUGGAAUUCCUGGUGUAGCGGUGAAAUGCGCAGAUAUCAGGAGGAACACCAAUUGCGAAGGCAGCUCGCUGGGACGUAACUGACGCUGAGACGCGAAAGCGUGGGGAGCAAACAGG
rnacentral:rRNA from 1 species